UAACACAUGCAAGUCGAGCGAGAAAGUUCCUUCGGGAGCAAGUAAGCGGCGGACGGUGAGUAACGCGUGAGAAUUUACCCUUUAGUGAGGAAUACCUCUGAGAAAUCAGGGCUAAUACUGCAUAAGUCCCUACGGGGAGAAAGGUGGCCUAUUUGCUGCCGCUAAAGGAUAAGCUUGCGGGUUAUUAGCUAGUUGGUGAGGUAAAGGCUCACCAAGGCGAUGAUGGCUAGCCGGCCUGAGAGGGUGUACGGCCACACUGGAACUUAGACACGGUCCAGACUCCUACGGGAGGCAGCAGUGGGGAAUAUUGCGCAAUGGGCGAAAGCCUGACGCAGCGACGCCGCGUGGAGGAUGAAGGUCUUCGGAUUGUAAACUUCUGUUAAGUGGGAAGGAAGAUUUAUCCCUAAUAUGGAUAAAGGAUGACGGUACCAUUAGAGAAAGCACCGGCUAACUUCGUG
rnacentral:rRNA from 1 species